GGCGAACGCUGGCGGCGUGCCUAAUACAUGCAAGUCGAGCGAAUCUUUCGGAACUUGUUCCGGAAGAUUAGCGGCGGACGGGUGAGUAACACGUGGGCAACCUGCCUGUAAGACUGGGAUAACACCGGGAAACCGGUGCUAAUACCGGAUAAUUCUUUCCCUCUCAUGAAGGAAAGUUGAAAGUCGGUUUCGGCUGACACUUACAGAUGGGCCCGCGGCGCAUUAGCUAGUUGGUGAGGUAACGGCUCACCAAGGCGACGAUGCGUAGCCGACCUGAGAGGGGGAUCGGCCACACUGGGACUGAGACACGGCCCAGACUCCUACGGGAGGCAGCAGUAGGGAAUCUUCCACAAUGGACGAAAGUCUGAUGGAGCAACGCCGCGGGAGCGAUGAAGGCCUUCGGGUCGUAAAGCUCUGUUGUUAGGGAAGAAUAAGUACCGGAGUAACUGCCGGUACCUUGACGGUACCUAACCAGAAAGCCACGGCUAACUACGUGCCAGCAGCCGCCGCCGUAA
rnacentral:rRNA from 1 species